GUUACCAAAGAGGCUUAUGGAUAGAUGAAGUCCGAUCAUCUUGAAGCUGCUUUUAUCUUGUGUUCAUUUAAGAAAGAAUCGUGAGAAAUUCAAGAUUUUCAGAGAUUCUUCAGAAGCUUGAAUCCGACAAAAAGUUGCAAGGAAGUGCAAAAAAGCUAGCUGAUUGUUGAUUUGAAUGGCAUCCAGCGUUGAAUCACCUAUUGUGCUAUACGUUAUACACAUCAUUUUGGUAGUAGUCACUAUCAACUCGCAUAGUAUGUAGAAGCUAAGCGAGAAGAGUAGAAUUGUGUUUUGAGUUUGUAUCUAGUUUCUUUUGAAGGAACCUUGUACUGAGGGUUAAAUGAACUUUGUUAUUAAACAUCAAUGAAGUCUUACUAUUUCAAUUGAGUUCUCAUUUCACAU